rfam:Salmo salar isolate Sally breed double haploid chromosome ssa15, whole genome shotgun sequence.
UGCACUCACUACUGUAAGUCGCUCUGGAUAUGAGCGUCUGCUAAAUGACUAAAA